rnacentral:rRNA from 2 species
GGUGAAGCUGGCGGCGUGCCUAAUACAUGCAAGUCGAGCGAACAGAUGAGAAGCUUGCUUCUCUGAUGUUAGCGGCGGACGGGUGAGUAACACGUGGGUAACCUACCUAUAAGACUGGGAUAACUCCGGGAAACCGGGGCUAAUACCGGAUAAUAUAUUGAACCGCAUGGUUCAAUGUUGAAAGACGGUUUCGGCUGUCACUUAUAGAUGGACCCGCGCCGUAUUAGCUAGUUGGUAAGGUAACGGCUUACCAAGGCAACGAUACGUAGCCGACCUGAGAGGGUGAUCGGCCACACUGGAACUGAGACACGGUCCAGACUCCUACGGGAGGCAGCAGUAGGGAAUCUUCCGCAAUGGGCGAAAGCCUGACGGAGCAACGCCGCGUGAGUGAUGAAGGUCUUAGGAUCGUAAAACUCUGUUGUUAGGGAAGAACAAAUUUGUUAGUAACUGAACAAGUCUUGACGGUACCUAACCAGAAAGCCACGGCAAUUAUU